rnacentral:rRNA from 1 species
UACGAAGGGGCUAGCGUUGUUCGGAAUCACUGGGCGUAAAGGGCGCGUAGGCGGCCGUUCAAGUCGGGGGUGAAAGCCUGUGGCUCAACCACAGAAUUGCCUUCGAUACUGGACGGCUCGAGACCGGAAGAGGUCAGUGGAACUGCGAGUGUAGAGGUGAAAUUCGUAGAUAUUCGCAAGAACACCAGUGGCGAAGGCGGCUGACUGGUCCGGUUCUGACGCUGAGGCGCGAAAGCGUGGGGAGCAAACAGG